UUUGUCCCUAGAGGCAUUGCAGGUGUGGCCGCGGUGGUCCCAUGUGCAUCAGUAGGUGGCAGAGAGGAGAGAGACUGUGUCUACACUCCAUGUUUUGACUAAUGAACAUCUGAAUGAUUAGUAGCAUGACACU